rnacentral:sRNA from 1 species
UUUUUAUGCAACACGCGGUACGUGCUCAGAUUGUGUGGGUUUGGGAGGGAAAGUUCUCUCCGGUGAUUUGGUUUCUCCAAGAUGGAUACAAUGAUUUGGUUAACACUUCUAAAGGUUUAAAAUUGCAAAAUAUUAUAGAGUCUUUCAAGCAUUUUACCGUUGUGAAGCACAAAAUACCUAGACCAUAUAUAGAAAUUGUAAAGCAUGUGAUGACGAGGACUUUCUUUCUUCCAUGGUUCAAUACAAUGAAUCAUAAACAGAUGACAACCAUCUGAAAAUAGAGUGCUUCUUUGCCUCCUGUUUUUCCUCUCCAGGAACCCAAAAUAACAAGUCAUUUGUUAUAAGCCAUCGCGCUAUCUCGUUAAUGGAUUGAAAUUUUAACGCCGUUAAUUCAAAACAUGGCAUUAAGGUAAUCAGGCUGUGCGGUGGUUUACGCGUCCUUCAACCUUACCAAUGGGCUCGAGAAGACCAACGCCAAACAACAGAAAACGCGGGGAGGCCCACUGUACAAGAGCUCAUUAGUAACAAAACAUCAAGGCAAUUAGAACAGAAACAACCUGUUCCAGUGUCUCAAGUGUUGCGCGUCUCUAUUCCAGGAAACGUUCUAGCUGAGCUUGAUUAACUUUUAAACCGAAGCGCUGUUGCUGGCACAUCUUCUAUUGUACUGACAGUAUAUUCGUUAAUAGAAACUUAAGUAGCCCAAUUUGUCUGCAGAUUUUCGUAGAUCAAAGGAAGUCGCGGUUACAAGCGGAUUCAUAGUCAGAAUCUGGAGAAUCCCAAACUGUGUGUUACUGGAAUCAAUCUCUCUGUGAAAUAAAAGAAAGAAAAAAAACAUGACCUCCAUAAAACUAUAAAUAAAUGAAAGUGUACCG